AGAGCGAACGCUGGCGGCAGGCCUAACACAUGCAAGUCGAGCGCCCGUAGCAAUACGGGAGCGGCAGACGGGAUAGUAACACGUGGGAACGCGCCCUUCGGUUCGGAAUAACUCAGGGAAACUUGAGCUAAUACCGGAUACGCCCUUACGGGGAAAGAUUUAUUGCCGAAGGAACGGCCCGCGUCCGAUUAGCUAGUUGGUGAGGUAAUGGCUCACCAAGGCGACGAUCGGUAGCUGGUCUGAGAGGAUGACCAGCAUCACUGGGACUGAGACACGGCCCAGACUCCUACGGGAGGCAGCAGUGGGGAAUAUUGGACAAUGGGCGCAAGCCUGAUCCAGCCAUGCCGCGUGGAUGAUGAAGGCCUUAGGGUGUAAAGUCCUUUAACGGGAAGAUAAUGACGGUACCCGUAGAAUAAGCCCCGGCUAACUUCGCGCCAGCAGCCGC
rnacentral:rRNA from 1 species